CCUUUCCAGUCUAGCAAGCAAGUCUAAGAGCGAAGAUUUGAAUUGGAAAUCGAACUAUUUCACUGCAAAGAAAACCAUCGACGUCCAUAAAGAUUCAGACAGCCAGGCUCUCAAAGAUUCGUGGAUAUGACUUAAAGAGCUGUUUAAGCACCAUCAUGGACAGGCUCAUGACAAAUUAAUUAAUGUCCAAUCUGAACAUGAAGGGGAGAGGGGGAAAAAAUAGCUUUGCCGAGACAA